GCCAGCAGCCAAGGCACCCUGCAACUCCCAAGUGGCAGCCAACUGCAGCUCAGCAGGUGUGAGCCUGGUCACUACCUGGAUGGGAGACCUUCUGGGAAAGCUGAGGUUGCUGCUGGAA
rnacentral:rRNA from 1 species